UCCAGACUCCUACGGGAGGCAGCAGUGAGGAAUAUUGGUCAAUGGGCUUACGCCUGAACCAGCCAAGUCGCGUGAGGGAAGACUGCCCUAUGGGUUGUAAACCUCUUUUGCCGGGGAGCAAAGUGCCGCACGUGUGCGGUUUGGAGAGUACCCGGAGAAAAAGCAUCGGCUAACUCCGUGCCAGCAGCCGCGGUAAUACGGAGGAUGCGAGCGUUAUCCGGAUUUAUUGGGUUUAAAGGGUGCGCAGGCGGCACGGCAAGCCGGCGGUCAAAUCGCGGGGCUCAACCCCGCCCAGCCGUCGGAACUGCCGGGCUAGAGUGGGCGAGAAGUGCGCGGAAUGCGUGGUGUAGCGGUGAAAUGCAUAGAUAUCACGCAGAACUCCGAUUGCGAAGGCAGCAUGCCGGCUCCACACUGACGCUGAGGCACGAAAGCGUGGGUAUCGAACAGGAUUAGAUACCCCCGUAGAA
rnacentral:rRNA from 1 species